AUCUUUGGGAAGGGGGUGGAGUGACAGGUACUUCAUCCUCCUCUUGCCUUCCUGCAGGAGGAGCUUUUGUUUUAGAGUAAAAAUGGUUUGGUGUUCUUUAUUUAGGUUAGCACACCUGUAGAGCUUGUGAAAACUUGAUGCUCUUUGAAAUGGGUAGGAAUUGUCUAUAAUGGCUGCUAGUGUUUGUGUGAAGUAGUAGUGUUGUUUAAAAGAAAUUUCUAAAUGUAAUUUCUAAUGCAGAUAAUAUUCGCAACAGUGAUCGAGGCCAUGUGGGGAUGACUUGCUUGCAAAUUGGGAGGGACUUCCUAAUCCAGAUUUACAUGCUAUGCAGGAACAACUGAGACCGGAACAACUGUAGGUGCCAUGUAGUAUCUCCGUUCCUGUCAAGAUGGUAUACAGCCAGGAGAAGACAUAUGUUUCCUUGAGAUAUUGCUUGAAGGAACCACUUCAUUGACUGAUGUGCAGCUGGACUACAGAACAGUUGUCUGAGGAGCACAACGAUGCUAAUGGCAAUGGAGUAUUAUAGCCUGUAUUUUUUCUUGAGCAACCUUGAUGGCUGGUGGUGAAGGGUAGACAUCCCUUCUGUGAGAUGGAAAAUUCUGCAAGAGCCAUAAAGACAUGAUGGAAAUUAUCCUAGGAUCAGAAGGCCAAGCUGCUAUUCUUAAUAGUAGCGGCAGGAGCUAAAGGAAUCUCCACCCAUCACUUCGUGGUGUAACAAGAUUUGCAUAAAGCAUUUAAAGAAAAAGAAAAAAAGAAAGAUUCUGGGUUAACCUCUUGUGCUGAUUCUUCCAAGUGGGAUCUUUGAAGGGGGAGGGGGGUACCAAGAGACCCCCCUCCCCCAGAAGACAUCUUUAGGUUGGCUGCUGAACAUCUGUGGAGAGGUGAUGCCUAUCAGGCUUUGAGUUUUCCAGUAUUAUGCAAGUAUGAAACAAGUGGACUGAAACCCAUAUUUCUAAUCACAAUAGUAAAGUCUCCUGAAGGUGGGCAGGACCUGUAAAUAUGAGGUAUCAGUUGUUUGUGAGAAGACAAAAGCAGGUGAUCAAGAAACAGAUUGCUCAAGGUUUCUGUCGGUGCUGAGGCUGGAAAAGAUCCAGCUGAUCCGAAGUCCUUGUACUCUUCUGUUGACUUGGCACUGCUAUAUUGGAUCAGAAGGAGAUGGUGGAAGGAGCAUUAUUAAGUUGAUAAACGUGUUCUUAAAGUGCAUCCUGCCUGGUGUGACACAGUUUCAGUUUGUUGCAAGAAGAAUUAUUGGAUGAUCAUGAUACUGUGAAGUAGUGGACUGUCCUGAUUUUAUAUGAAGAUAAGGUACAAAUUUGUACAAGUUUUUCUAUCCCUAAUAUGAACCAUGUUAAUCUGCCCUGAUUCCUGCCCCCUUGAGCGAAGGUUUUGACUGUGAUUGUUUAUUUUAUUUAUUGCUAAUUUUAAUCAAAUUGUUUUGUAUUGUGUUAACAAGAGUUAACAAGGAGCUCCUAUAGUAUUGCAGCCAUUUUAAACUACCAACCACCCAGAUAGAUCCUUUUACUUGGAAAGUGAACACUUGCAGCAAGUAAUGUGUUAUGUAUUGACCAUAACAGGAAUAAUGCCACAAAUACUGACUCUUGGCUUGCUGUCAGGAAUUAAAAGACAGACUAGAUACUUUGUGUUUAUUGUAGCAUGAUAAUGAGAGAUAAGAUACAAUCUAGGUGAAUCAUAGAUUGCAAUUGUGAAGGUGCUCAGU
rnacentral:lncRNA from 11 species